CUUUCGGAGCUAACGCGUUAAGUAGACCGCCUGGGGAGUACGGUCGCAAGAUUAAAACUCAAAUGAAUUGACGGGGGCCCGCACAAGCGGUGGAGCAUGUGGUUUAAUUCGAUGCAACGCGAAGAACCUUACCUACUCUUGACAUCUACAGAAUCCUGCGGAGACGCGGGAGUGCCUUCGGGAACUGUAAGACAGGUGCUGCAUGGCUGUCGUCAGCUCGUGUCGUGAGAUGUUGGGUUA
rnacentral:rRNA from 1 species